rnacentral:rRNA from 1 species
CAGUAGCCGCGGUAAUACGUAGGGUGCGAGCGUUAAUCGGAAUUACUGGGCGUAAAGCGUGCGCAGGCGGUUGUGUAAGACAGGUGUGAAAUCCCCGGGCUUAACCUGGGAACUGCGCUUGUGACUGCACAGCUAGAGUAUGGCAGAGGGGGGUGGAAUUCCACGUGUAGCAGUGAAAUGCGUAGAGAUGCGGAGGAACACCGAUGGCGAAGGCAAUCCCCUGGGCCUGCACUGACGCUCAUGCACGAAAGCGUGGGGAGCAAACAGGAUUAGAUACCCCCGUAGUCCCUGUCUCUUAUAC